rnacentral:rRNA from 2 species
UAAGACGAGAAGACCCUAUAGAAUUUUAUAUAAAAUUCUAUAGGGUCUUCGCGUCAGCUGAGACGAGAAGACCCUAUAGAAUUUUAUAUAAAAUUUUUAUUUUAUUUAUCAUUUGUAUAAGAUAUAAAAUUGAAAUUUAUAUUUGAUUGGGAGGAUUAUUAAAUUUUAUAAACUUUAAUAAAAAAUAAAGAACAUUAAUUUAUGAUAUUUUUAUUGAUUAAAAUUUUAUGAUUAAUUUUAUUAUAGAAUUAAUUACCUUAGGGAUAACAGCGUAAUAUUU